ACAUAAGGUCAUCCAAGGACUUUUUUUCGCUUUAGUCUUUAUUGCUUUUAUGCAUACACAAAUAAAACACAAAUAUAACAACGAUACAUUCAACAAUGCAGUGAAACGUACAACAGUGCAGCCGGGG